rnacentral:tRNA from 1 species
GCAGUGGUGGUUCAGCGGUAGAAUUCUCACCUUCCAAGUAGGAGACCCAGGUUCAAUUCCUGGCCAAUGCA